CCUACGGGUGGCAGCAGUGAGGAAUAUUGGUCAAUGGACGCAACUCUGAACCAGCCAUGCCGCGUGCAGGAAGACGGCUCUAUGGGUUGUAAACUGCUUUUGUACGAGGGUAAACGCAGAUACGCGUAUCUGUCUGCAAGUAUCGUACGAAUAAGGAUCGGCUAACUCCGUGCCAGCAGCCGCGGUAAUACGGAGGAUUCAAGCGUUAUCCGGAUUUAUUGGGUUUAAAGGGAGCGUAGGCGGUCGGAUAAGUUAGAGGUGAAAUCCCGAGGCUCAACUUCGGAAUUGCCUCGGAUACUGGUCGGCUAGAGAGUAGUUGCGGUAGGCGGAAUGUAUGGUGUAGCGGUGAAAUGCUUAGAUAUCAUACAGAACACCGAUUGCGAAGGCAGCUUACCAAGCUACUUCUGACGUUGAGGCACGAAAGCGUGGGGAGCAAACAGGAUUAGAUACCCGGGUAGUC
rnacentral:rRNA from 1 species